AUUUUAAUAUGUCUUUACUGCUCAAAUCUGAUGCAUUGCAAAAUCUGUCAUUUCAAAUGUGUUUCCUUUCAAUAAUUUAAGAAAAACCAUUUAAACAUUAAGUUUAUGAAAAUCAGAUUUUUAAUAUAAUAAAUAAUGAGAUAAGGUUGAAGAUGAUGUAUACAGUGAACUUUGACCUUUUAAUGGUGUGUUCAUUCAUACUCAAGAGCUAGUCACUAUCAUUUGACUCGCUCUGUUGUGUGUCUUUCAUAUAUGUUUAUAAUGCAGCAGGUGUGUGGAUAUGUGUGUUGUGUAAUUGUUUAUGUAUAUGUGUGUUUAUAGAAAACUUGUUAUGCAGCAAUAUAUCAUUAAGAGCAGGGUUUGAGAGGAUGAGGCUUAAUUAACUGUAUUCACAGAAGAAUGGGGAGUGCUUGAUGUAUUUUUAAGUGCUAUAUAUUGUUAAUUUGAUUCAACAGCUGGACAUUUUACGUUUAUUUAGUAUUUCUCCUGUCUAGGGGGAGUAAAAUAUUUUGUCAUUAAGAAUUAUUUAAAGUUAGUUUGUUUUAGUAUAAAAUGUUGUCUGAAAUUACAAUUAUAUCUGCAUACUGUACAGCAAAUCAAUUUCACUUAUCCCUUUUCUGUAUUUAAUCCUUUGUUGCUAAAUUGAUAUAUUUAUUUUCACAAUUCUCUUACUUUUCACAUAUAUACAAGAGAAGAUCUAAGUGUGACAUAAUUGAACAAUUUAUAUUCACAUUAAUUUUUUGUGAGAGUUUCUCGGAAAGUUGCAUAGACAGAUCCAUAGUCAGUUGGAUUACAGUAUUUUUAAGCAUAUUUCAUAUUUUCUGACUUUUUUUGGUCAUAAAUUUUAACAAAAAGAACAUAUAUAUUCUCAUCGACUGUUUUGAACAUUCUGAAAACAAAAUUUUAAAUGCAGUUUGAUAAAUCUGUAUUUGAAUUUUAUGAUAUCCAGGUGUAAGAGCUACUUUUAUUGUUUUUCAUGGAAAGUAAGUUUUAUAUACUGUAAAUUCAGAAAUUAUUGCAUGCAUUUAUUAUUGCAAUUUUGUCAGUUUAGACAUAGAUGUGAUUUUAAUUUUUACGAUUUUGAGACAAAUCCUGUUUAAUUCAUAUAAAAUAUUUCAAAAGCUAGUUUAAAUUAUUGUGUUUACAACUCUGUCGCAUUUUUCACAAUAAUAAAAACCUUUCCAUUAAUUUCUGAAUUUACAGUAGUUUACAUUUGAAAACCGUAUUCAUCAUUGGUGUUUCAUUACAAUUGGUUAGCUUUUAUAUAUUUUUUUCCCCAGCUAUAAGGAGUCAUUGUGUCAGUGUAGAAAAUUAUUACAGUGUGAAAACAGUUGACAAAACACACUUGAAGCAUGCAAGUUGGCAACUUUGAUAAAAUGAAGUGUCCAGUAUUUAAAUUUUCUUAAUCAUUUUAUUUUAUAUCAUGAAAUAUUAAAAAUUUGUUGAUAGUUUUAGUGUAUUAAAAUAAAAAAAUGUAAAUAACUGAUCCACAUAGUAAUAUCUUUACAAAUUUAUACACAGACUCAAAUGCAUUUUAUGUCAAACAACUGUUUUAGUGUACUCAAUAUUUAACCAAAAAUCGUUCAAAUCUUUAUAAAUUUGCUCAACUCAUUCAUUAUUAAACUGUUUGCCCAUUUGUGGGGAUCUUAAAUAAAUAAAAAUAAUUAUAUCACAAAUUUUAAUCUGAUAAAUAGAAUGACAUCUUUGGACAAUGAAUUUCCAGACUGACAUUAAACAUAUAACCAUGUGACAUUUAAAAUGAUAUGCACACUUGUGAUUUUCUCCCAUGGAAAGGUUUAUUGUAAUUUGUGCAUGGAAUCUUAUAUUUUUAAAUAAGUAAAUGCUGGAUGAUGGAACAUUACAUAUUUGUAUUUUUUAUCAUUAAAAGCUUUUGUUAUGAGAUUAGUACUGGGGUAGUUUGACAAAAGAAAAAACAACCUCCAAAAUCUGUAAAAUUUUCUUUGAAUUGUUAUGUACUUACAGUUAAAGAGUUACGUUAUUUUUUCUGUGAGAAUUCAAAAUUAAAUAAUAAUAAUCAUGAAGUCAUGUAUGCUAUGAUUGAAAAGUUCAGUUUUAUAUAUAAAGUUGUAUGCUGGUAUUUGAUUUUAACAAGUAUAGAAUUGAAGGGUAUUUUUCUGUUGCUGAAAUUUUAUUGCUGCUUUCAAUUUGAAUUAUUUAUGAAUCUUCUUGCAGUAAUCCUGGAAUAAGGAAACAUUAUAUCCCAUUUUCAAAUAAUUUUACCAUUAAAUUAAAUGCAUAGAGUUCCAUACUUUUAUAUAUUGAUUUGGAGAAUAUUGUAGAAAUGGCUAAAAAAAAAAUAAGAGUAAAACAAAAAUAAAACUAAACAAGAGGUCUAUGCUACCUUCUUGUUAAAGUACAGUCAAAUCUAUGGCCCUGUUGGUCACUAACAUCUGAUCAUUCAAGAUAUUUAACCUUUAAAUUGGGGUUCAAAAUGCAUAGGUUGGGAUCUCUACAGAGUGUUGAGAGUGCUGCUUGAUAGAUGUGACCUCUAUAGCAGGUUUUAGUGUAAUAUAUAUUUAAACAGUUUGGUUUUACCUUUAGGUCUCUAGCUGAAGAAAAGACUCCUUAAAUUGCAGUUAUAUUUAAUGAUGAUCGUAGUGAGUCAUUUGUCCUUCUGUUAAGUCACAUGACGAAAUUGUGAUUUCCAAAUUUUGAAAGCAAAAUAAUAGUAUUACCAGCAAUUUUAAUGAAACUCUCUUGAAACAUACUGUUUUGUGUACUAAUCUGAUUGAACAAUACCAGUCAGACAUUGAAAAUGUAGUAAAAUUUAGUAACAUUUUGAAGAUUGCAUUCUUUAAUAUGAAGAAAAGUUUUUACGAAUGUGAUGACUUGUAAGAUGGGAAAUAGUGCUAUUUUUAUUGAAAUAAACUUAUUUGUCAGUUAUGACAUAAAAAUAAAAGUAUACAUGAAA
rnacentral:lncRNA from 1 species